rnacentral:rRNA from 1 species
UACGAAGGGUGCAAGCGUUACUCGGAAUUACUGGGCGUAAAGCGUGCGUAGGUGGUUUGUUAAGUCUGCUGUGAAAUCCCCGGGCUCAACCUGGGAAUGGCAGUGGAUACUGGCAAGCUAGAGUGCGGUAGAGGGAUGUGGAAUUCCCGGUGUAGCGGUGAAAUGCGUAGAGAUCGGGAGGAACACCAGUGGCGAAGGCGGCAUCAUGGACCAGCACUGACACUCAGGCACGAAAGCGUGGGGAGCAAAAAGG